AAUGAACGCUGGCGGUAGGCCUAACACAUGCAAGUCGAACGGCAACACAGUAAGCUUUUGCUCUUACGGGUGGCGAGUGGCGGAUGAGUGAGGAAUAGAUCGGAAUCUACUUUUUCGUGGGUGACAACGUGGGGAAACUUAUGCUAAUACCGCAUACGACCUACGGGUUAAAGCAGGGGAUCUUCGGACCUUUGCCGUUUGAAUGAGCCGAUGUCGGAUUAGCUAGUUGGGGGGGUAAGGGCCCACCAAGGCGACGAUCCGUAGCUGGUCUGAGAGGAUGAUCAGCCACACUGGAACUGAGACACGGUCCAGACUCCUACGGGAGGCAGCAGUGGGGAAUAUUGGGCAAUGGGCGCAAGCCUGAUCCAGCCAUACCGCGUGGGUGAAGAAGGCCUUCGGGUUGUAAAGCCCUUUUGUUGGGAAAGAAAAGCAGCAGAUUAAAACCUGCCCGUCUUGACGGUACCCAAAGAAAAAGCACCGGCUAACUACGUG
rnacentral:rRNA from 1 species